AGUGAACGCUGGCGGUAGGCCUAACACAUGCAAGUCGAACAGCAGCACAGUAAGAGCUUGCUCUUACGGGUGGCGAGUGGCGGACGGGUGAGGAAUACAUCGGAAUCUACUUUUUCGUGGGGGAUAACGUAGGGAAACUUACGCUAAUACCGCAUACGACCUACGGGUGAAAGCAGGGGAUCUUCGGACCUUGCGCGAUUGAAUGAGCCGAUGUCGGAUUAGCUAGUUGGCGGGGUAAAGGCCCACCAAGGCGACGAUCCGUAGCUGGUCUGAGAGGAUGAUCAGCCACACUGGAACUGAGACACAGUCCAGACUCCUACGGGAGGCAGCAGUGGGGAAUAUUGGACAAUGGGCGCAAGCCUGAUCCAGCCAUACCGCGUGGGUGAAGAAGGCCUUCGGGUUGUAAAGCCCUUUUGUUGGGAAAGAAAAGCAGCAGGUUAAUACCCCGCUGUUCUGACGGUACCCAAAGAAUAAGCACCGGCUAACUUCGUG
rnacentral:rRNA from 1 species